rnacentral:lncRNA from 1 species
GUGUAAAGGAAUUUAGGAAAUCAGUGCAAAACUGAAGGAAAAUUUUAAGCCAUGUGCCAUAAAUGUGUCCUAUAUUAUAAAUUAAAUUGCUCCAUAAUUAUAUGCACAAAAAUAAAACAUUAAAAUAAGCUUUAAUAUAAGAUAGAAUCCUAACUGGCCUAGAGAACUAAAAUCUCAGUAACAAGAUUCAAAUAAACAAAAAUACAAUACAACUAGCUGCUUUGCUUAGAAAAAAAAUCACAAGAUAUUAUUGUACAAAAAAAAUUUGAUUCCAAAAGAUAGAAAUAAAACAACUGUAGAGAAAAAAUUUUAAAACAAAAAUUGAGGAACAUUCAAGAAUACCAGUUAUGCUCUUGGUGUUCUCAUUUACGUCAGUCCCUUCUUAAUUCAUGAAUUUGAUAAUCACUUAUUAACAGAUUACCUUGGUCCAAAUCCUUUGUCAACUACAGAGAAUAUGGAAAUAGUGAUGGCAGGGUCAGAGUCCAGUGGGAAAGCACUCAUGAAACAGGUCAUAGCAAUAGAAUGUUAUUAAGGUGUAAGUAAAAAGCCUGGAUAUCUUCUGUUCCCCCUGCCCUUAUAUCCACUCUCCAUCUUGCUCUUUUCCCUGAGGAGGCUGAUCUAUAUCAACUGCAUCAAUGGGUUCCUUUGCCCUUUGGCUUCUGGUUGGGUUCAGCCAAUGGGGACCCCAGCAACAGAUCAGAGGAAAGGUUAAUCACGAGGUGUUAUUGAGUCCCCCAGCUCCUUUCACAGUGGGCUGCCUGCAUCCAUUGACCAGUCACAGCUUUUAAGGAAAUGUCUUCAAAUUACCUUUUUGAAUGUGCCAGCUGUUCCCUGCAGAGCCCUGACUGAUACACUGUGAGAACAGAGGAAGGAAAUCUUUGAGGAAUCCAGAAAGACUUCACAGAGGAAGUGGCACUUGAGUUGAGAAGUAGGAGGUCCUGAGAAGAUGGGAGAAAAGAUUAAGUUGGCUGGAACAUAAGGAUUUGCUUUCAGAGACCCAGACUGUGACAGGGUUCAUGGAACUGCUGGAUGAGUUCAUAUGUGGAGAUUUCCAGAGGCUACAUAAAAUGAGAUGAUGUCAUCACUCUGGUGGCUAACAGAAUGCUUCACUUCUUUAGGACGGAGAUAAACAGCUAAAUUGUGGGCCUCCUGCUGAGGUGAACAGGUACUUAGUGAGUUUACAGAUUCCUUCCUGCAGAAGGUAUCCUUUUCCCAAAAAGACAUCAGAAACUUAUCCUGGCUUUUCCCCAUAUCUCCUUUUAUCACUUACCCUGUGGUAAAGAUAUUUUUUUCCAUCCAGUUUACUCUUAAAAGUUUGAUAAUAAGCCCCAGGAAAUGAGAUUUUUAAAUAAACUUUAUAGGGAGUUUCUAAAAUCAUAAUGGUUUCAAAAGAAAAAAGCCAAAGGAUAAGUAAUUUUCCUUAAAAAACACUGUAACUGGAACAGUUGUGAUUCCUU